rnacentral:ncRNA from 1 species
AAAGUUGCUGUAGUUAAAAAGCUCGUAGGUGGAUCUUGGGAUCAAGCUGGUGGUCCACCGUGAGGUGAGCCACCACCUGUCCCAGCCUCUGCCUCUUGGCACCCCCUUGAUGCUCUUAGCUGAGUGUCCCACGGGGCCUGAAGCAUUUACUUUGAGAAAAUUAGUGUUCAAAGCAGGUCAGUCACUGGCAUACUGCAGCUAGGAAUAAUGAAAUAGGACUCCAGUUCUAUUUUAUUGGUUUUCGGAAACGGAAUCAUGAUUAAGAGGGAUGGCCAGGGAUACUCGUAUUGUGCCACUAGAAGCGGAAUUCUUGGACCGGCACAAAACUGCCUAGAGCAAAAGCAUUUGCCAAGAAUGUUUUCAUUAAUCAAGAACAAAAGUUGGAGAUUUGAAGAUGAUCAGAUACCGUUGUAGUUCCCAUCAUAAUUCUU